GUCUGGCUGGACACCGGGAUCAGCUGCCAAGGGGGAGACUCCUGCCUUCUUCAGCAGACACCUGUCUUUCAAACCAAGACAACCUCCCAGGGAGAAGGAUGUCCUCUCACAGAUACACCCAUUGCUGAGACAGCAACAGAAAGUACUGCAGGUGAUAACUGGGAUCCGUAGGUCUAAGCAAGUUUUAGUGAGUAUUUAUUUGUAUAUCUAGCCAGCUUCAGGGUUGGGACCCUGGUGCCAAAGGUUAUGUUGACCCAGAAAGGAACUGGAAUAGAUCCAAACUCCUCUGCAUUCCGCUCUCUGAUGUAUCCAAAUUAAUAGAGCAGCUGCAGCGAUGUUGAGUCUUGAAGACAGGAUAUUUCAUUCCUGGAUUAAUGUCUAUGCUUAAUACUAUGAUGUUUCAUGAUGCUUCUCCUGCUCUUUAUUGAGCAGUGUUGUGAUCCUUGCACAAGUCCUUGGGUCAUCGUCUGUAGGCAAGGGCAUGUCAGGGAUCUUGAGUGAGAUCUCGCAGAGGAGGGUACUUGCUGUUUCAGACCUUCCUAAUCCUUAAUUUAAAAAAUUUCUUUAUUUUUAAUAGUCAUAAAUAUUCCCUGGAAAGAAAAGGAAUCCAUGAGCUCAUGGCCCUUCUAUACUCAACAACCUUAUUUGAGAGAGCACUUUUCCCCUUACAGGAGGAGCAGCAAGGUAUGUGUUUAUGAGCAAGGAUGUCUGUCCAUGGCAGCAGAAAAUGUGAGCUCAUCACAUCCUUUCUUUCUUAAACAAGAACCUAAAAAUACUGCCAAAAUCCCUCACUGGAAAACAUAGAAUACAGCUCCUUGGCCACAUAUAAGCUGACUGGAUCUAUGCCUCUGUCCAAAACACUUUCAGAUUUAUAUGCCAUGUGGACUAAAUGAAAAUACUUGGAGGGAAAAAGGAGGCUUUCAAGGAUUAUUAAUUCUUCACGUUAUUCUGGAAAAAUAAACCUAUGGGUAAAUAGAAUAGAAAUGUGUUUACUCUGAUGAAACAUUUAACCUGACAGGGAGAGGUAGUUGCAGAGCGAUACUCGUAUUCGCUGUCUAAUCUCCAGGAGAUCUUGGCUACAGAUCAGACCCUUUAGUCAGCCCAUAGCCCUAACAAAGGUAAAAAAGGUCAGAGAAUACUCUGCAACCCUUAUUAACCUUUAGCCUGAGCUAUGGUGAUUUUUUCAACUUGAAUCCGUUACUUGAAAACUCCAUUUCUCACUUAUGUAAGCCAAAGCUUGUACACACCAGGUAACCAGCACCAUCAUCAGCUGGGUCUUUGGUGUGUCCAGAGCUGAUGUGUGGGGACUGGAGCUCUGCACAUCUUAAGGGCAUUGAGAGCAGAGCAACAUCCUCUUCUAAUGAGAGGCAGUAAGUGCCCAACAUGUGUGGGAGACAGAGGAGUAGAAACUCCUGCAAUUAAAGGAGGCUUUGAUUUACAACCCUGGAAGAGACUAGGUCUGGCCUAAUUGGCAGAGAUUUAUAGAUCUGAAGCAAAAGGAUUACAAGCUUGUGUCCCUAUAAUUAUAAGCAAAAUUGUACACUGGGUGUUCUGGUGGAGGGUUUUAAAAUAUAAUAGUGUGAUUUUAUACUGUUUAAGUUAAGAAUGUAGAUGGUAUAAGAGAGAGAACUGUGUGUACGUGACAUGAGAAGUUACUGGUCAAGACAUAGCUGCAUUGCAGUGAGAAGUGCCACAGUGAGAAGAGAUAGGUCAUAAAUCUAAAACAAAGUGUCGUUUUAAGUGCCUACUGGAUUAGAAAGUUAUAAAUUACAUUGUCACCCUAAAUCUUGUGACUAUUCGCCAUUAUUCGGAGGUAUUGUAAAAUCUCAAGCCUUGACUGAUGUGUUUGUUGUUUUAAACAAUAAAUUUGUGUAAUUGCA